rnacentral:misc_RNA from 1 species
CGCAUAUUGCGCCCCUCGGCAUUCCGGGGGGCAUGCCUGUUCGAGCGUCAUUACACCCCUCAGGCUCAGCUUGGUAUUGGGUCCUCGCCCGGAAGCGGCGUACCCGAAAGUAAGUGGCGGUCGCGCGUAACCUUGAGCGUAGUAAGACUUAUCACCCGCUUUGAAGGUUACGUGUCGUCCUGUCAGGACAUUCACACUUCCAAGAAUUGACCUCGGAUCAGGUAGGGAUACCCGCUGAACUUAA